rnacentral:lncRNA from 1 species
UGCAACCGCUCUGAUGGGGAGCCUAUCGUUCUAGUAAAAGCUGACAACAUCAGCCAGACUCGUUCCUACGAAGCUUGAUCUCUUCGGUGAUCUCACUCUUGCGGAGGUGGGUUCUGACUAGUCAUGUUGACCUUCGCUCCUAUGGAACUUUUCCACCGGUGCGACGUCGCUCUAGAGACCAUGGUCCGUCGGAGCGACAAUUGCUGGUAGUUAUAUCUCUCUUCUCCUCAUUCAUCCAUUGAAAGGUAGAAGAGUUGAAGUUCAAUUCUUGCCGUAAGUCUCAUUAAUUUCCUCAAUUUUGUCUUGAAAUAGGUGUUCUUGAGCUAAAUUAAUCCUUUGGCCAUUUUAGCUUCGUUUGUGGUCAUUUCUAGGGCACAGGUCCCUUGAGCUGGUGUAGACCUUAAGACAGAGUCUUAGUGAUUCCAUGCAUGGAUCCCAUAUACCUAUUAUUGACCCAAUUUUAGGUCCAAGUUCUCUCAUUGCAUUAUGGAUAUAGUUUUCCUUAUGUUGACACCUAUAUUGUUGAUUUGAUAGUAUGGAAUCAUAUAGAGGCUGCUCAGAAAGGAAAAACAUUUUAGUGGAUUUGCAGAGCGAGUGUUUGACUUCGACGUAGUCUAUAACUUAAUGAUCAUAGGCUUAGCUCGUUGAUUGUUUUAGCAUGAUGAUUUUCUAAUUUUGGGUUGGAUUAGCUAAUAUCAUUCUUUUUGAUAUCCAUAUUGCUUUGUUAGACUUAUUUCGAGUUUAUUACAAAAUAGUAUUUCAUGUUCUUGCCUCUAUUGAUGUUUAUGCUCCCGCAACUAGUUUGCCUUAAUGUAUCUUAGUUAGGGGCUUAGCCUAGGGUUGGUUAGUGUGUGCCUUAGACUUAAGUCUUAGUGGGUCGUAUGUUGUAGAUUUGGAUUAGAUGUGACCCUUCAGGUUGUAGACUUUGACCUUCAGAAACCUUCUAUUAUCGAUUUUGGCUACUUGGGGUUCGUUUGGUGCUUAGUAUUACCUUAGAUGAUUGGACCUAUAUUUAUUUGUGUGUGUGAUUGGAUCAUCCCGAUGUAAUAUUUCAAGAAGGAUUAGCUCUUGUGUGAUGGCCUCCAAAUGUAAGAAUCCAAGAUGGCCUAGCUAUUCUGAUGUAAAAUUCUGAUAAAAGCUAGGUUUCUUCGUGUUUAAUUUCGAUGUAAGAUUCUGUGAUUGACUAGUUAUUCCAAUGUAAGAUUUUGGGAGAUGCUUAGCCUUUUUAUGGUUUUUUGAUGUAAGAUUUCAGAAAGGAUAUGGUUUCGAUGUAAGAUUCUGGAAGCUAGGUUCGUGGGGUUAGCCCGAUGUAAGAUUCUGUGAUUGACUAGUUAUUCCGAUGUAAGAUUCCAGGAGAUGCUUAGCCUUUUUAUGGUUUUUUGAUGUAAGAUUUCAUAAAGGAUAUGUUUUCGAUGUAAGAUUCUGGAAGCUAGGUUCGUGGGGUUAGCCCGAUGUAAGAUUCUGUGAUUGACUAGUUAUUCCGAUGUAAGAUUCCAGGAGAUGCUUAGCCUUUUUAUGGUUUUUUGAUGUAAGAUUUCAUAAAGGAUAUGUUUUCGAUGUAAGAUUCUGGAAGCUAGGUUGUGGGGUUAGCCUGAUGUAAGGUUCCGAGAACGACUGGCUUUACCGAUGUAAGAUUCCAGAAAAGGUUGUCCUUAUUAGAUGUAGCAAUCCUGAUGUAAGAUUCCAGGAUGAGCUAUUCCUUCUUAGCGGUUAUUCCGAUGUCAGAUUCCGGCCAAUAGGCCAUGCUUGGGUUUAUGGCUAAUGUUCUUGAUUGUUCCUAGUACUGUUCUUCUUUAUUAUUUGCUCUCGUGUGUACUUGUUAGACUUAUGAGGGUCUUCUAGGAUUUAUUUCCUCUAUCCUGUCUCUUGUAAUCAUCUUUUUGGCUUAUGGGUCCAAUUAGGUUUCAUUUGGGUUAGAUUAUUUAAGUUCAACCUCAAAUACUCUCUAUCUGACUAAUGAAUUAUUUUAUGAUCAUUGUUCCCUUAAAGCUGACUUACUGCUUUACUUACAUUUUUUUAUGCUUUGGCAAUCUCGAGCUUGAUCGGCCUAUGUAUUCAUUGUUUUGAUAGUCAUACUACGCUGUAUCUCUUUUCCUUGAUGUAGAUCCGAGUUUUAGCUGACCACAUUGAUCCUUGUGCAAUGCAACUUAUAGUCGGAGAUUGAUGGUGAACUUACUGGCAUCUGGAUUUGACUCAUGUCCUUCUGUAUAUUUUGAUUAGUCUUUUGUAUUUUCAGACAUUCUAUCACGUCCUCUACUCAGUCUUUUAUAGUAGUUCUCUCUUGAUGUCUACCAGGUUUUGGGAUGAAUCUUUUAUAGCUUUUUUCCUUGUUCAUUAAUGUAUGUACAUAAGUCUUGUUCUUGCCGUAGCUAUUUUAUUUACUUUGAUUGUAUUUUCCUUAAAGUUGGUACUUCCGCUCUAUAGGCCAAUUACUC